rnacentral:rRNA from 1 species
UGGGGAAUAUUGGACAAUGGGCGAAAGCCUGAUCCAGCUAUGCCGCGUGUGUGAAGAAGGUCUUCGGAUUGUAAAGCACUUUAAGUUGGGAGGAAGGGCAGUAAGCGAAUAUCUUGCUGUUUUGACGUUACCGACAGAAUAAGCACCGGCUAACUCUGUGCCAGCAGCCGCGGUAAUACAGAGGGUGCAAGCGUUAAUCGGAAUUACUGGGCGUAAAGCGCGCGUAGGCGGCUAAUUGAGUCGGAUGUGAAAUCCCCGAGCUUAACUUGGGAAUUGCAUUCGAUACUGGUUAGCUAGAGUGUGGGAGAGGAUGGUAGAAUUCCAGGUGUAGCGGUGAAAUGCGUAGAGAUCUGGAGGAAUACCGAUGGCGAAGGCAGCCAUCUGGCCUAACACUGACGCUGAGGUACGAAAGCAUGGGGAGCAAACAGG